GNNGACGCUGGCGGCAUGCCUAAUACAUGCAAGUCGAACGAGAGACACUUCGGUGGCUCUAGUGGCGAACGGGUGAGUAACACGUAAGGAACUUGCCCCAAAGACGAGGAUAACCACGGGAAACCGUGGCUAAUACUGGAUAGGACACGACCCCGCAUGGGGAUGUGUUUAAAGGCGCUUUUAAGCGUCGCAUUAGGAGAGCCUUGCGCAGCAUUAGCUAGUUGGUAGGGUAACGGCCUACCAAGGCAACGAUGCUUAGCUGGAUUGAGAGGUUGAACAGCCACACUGGUACUGAGACACGGACCAGACUCCUACGGGAGGCAGCAGUAGGGAAUUUUCGUCAAUGUGGGAAACCGCGAACGAGCAAUGCCGCGUGAACGAUGAAGAUCUUCGGAUCGUAAAGUUCUGUUGUUAAGGAAGAACAGUUUUGCUAGGAAAUGAGCAGGAUUUGACGGUACUUAACCAGAAAGCUCCGGCUAACUACGUGCCAGCAGCCGCGGUAAUACGUAGGGGGCAAGCGUUAUCCGGAAUUACUGGGCGUAAAGGGUGCGUAGGCGGUUCGGUAAGUCAGAGGUGAAAGACUAUUGCUCAACGAUAGCAAGCCUUUGAAACUACCGAACUUGAGUGCAGGAGAGGAGAGUGGAAUUUCUAGUGUAGCGGUGAAAUGCGUAGAUAUUAGAAGGAACACCCAGUGGCGAAGGCGACUCUCUGGACUGCAACUGACGCUGAGGCACGAAAGCGUGGGGAGCAAACAGGAUUAGAUACCCUGGUAGUCCACGCCAUAAACGA
rnacentral:rRNA from 1 species